rnacentral:misc_RNA from 1 species
CUGCGACCACGUGGCCGACGCCACGGCUGGUGAGGCCGACGGCGCGGGCGGCGCCCUUCGACAGAUCGAGCACGCGGCCUUUGAUGAACGGGCCACGGUCAUUGACCGUGACAACCACGCUGCGGCUGCCGGGGGGGGNNNNNNNNCCGAACGGCAAGGUCCGGUGGGCGGCGGUCAUGGCCUCCUGAUUGAAGCGCUGACCCGAGGCAGUCUUGCUGCCCGACUCGUUGCCGUAGAACGACGCCUUGCCGGAAAAGCUGCGGCCGGAGCCGACCGAGGCAUUGGCAUCGCGCCAGGAUUUGCGGUGGCCGGCUUCGCUGGCGGUGGCUGUGAGCGCCAGCAUCCCGACGGCGAUCAAAGCGAUGGAGGCAUUCCGAUUCUUCACGGGUUGCCCCGGCACGCGCUUGAUAGCGGCGAUCAUAUAGUUGUCCCUCGUUCUGGUAUAUC